rnacentral:lncRNA from 1 species
GUCCUUCAUUGUUAGGUGUGGUGUGUUCUUGACUCCAGCUGAUGUGAACGUGGCUCUCCUCCUAACUUGGCUAGUAGCAUCACUCAUCCAUUCUAUUGUAAAAAUCCAACAUGGCUAAUUAUCUUUCUCAGAGAUUUCUAUAAAAUGAAAAUAAAUUAAAAAAAAUAUUGUAUAAGCUGGGUUGCCUCCCAACAAGCGCUAAGUUUAACAUUUUAAGUCAGACUUUUAUUAAGACUACUCC